UCAUUUUGAGAUGUCAGCCAUACAAAAUUCCUCUGACCGAGCUUCUUUUGCCACAUAAAAUUUCACCAGUCGAAUAUUUUCGUCUAUGGCCUAGUUUGCCUGCUAUAGUUGAGUGUACUGGUACAUAUACAUAUGAAGGAAGCGGUUUCAUGGCUACUGCUGCUCAGCAAUAUGGGGAGUCCCCGUUCCUGAGUGGCCUGAAAUCUCUGUCUUCCAAACCUUUCGUCUAUGGCCUAGUUGCCUGCUAUAGUUGAGUGUACUGGUACAUAUAAAUAUGAAGGAAGCGGUUUCAUGGCUACUGCUGCUCAGCAAUAUGGGAAGUCUCCGUUCCUGAGUGGCCUGAAAUCUCUUGUCUUCCGAACCUUUCCACCGAGUUUGCUCACACAUCAUCCGGACAGUUGCUGGAUUUGAGGUUAGUAACUUUGUUUUAAAGGCUUUUGUCUUCUGAUUUUCUUUGGAAAGAUUUUACCAUGUUGGAUUUAGAAGCCACCUUAAGCUUUUCUGGCACUUCUAAUUGGGCA
rnacentral:lncRNA from 1 species